rnacentral:rRNA from 1 species
CGAUGCGUUGAGCUACCCGAUACAAAUGAACCGAGACGCUUAACCUUACAACGCCGA